CUUGUGAUAUUUUGCGAGAUGCAGGUCUGGGUCGACCCCAGACUUGAGCACUUAUCAGCUGUGUCAUCUUGAACACCAGUUAUAACCUCAGAUUUCCUAUCUAUCAUAAGGAAAACACUCCUCUCUCGCCGUGUUGUAAAGACUGAAGUAUAUGUGAUUACAUGAGAUACCGCCUGUGAACAUGCCUAUCACUUGGCCAACACCUGUUCCAUUGCAAUUAUUCAAUUUUGAUUCGAGCAUUUGACCUGCACAUCUCGAGGGAGUCAUAAGCGCAGACAAUCACCAAACAGUUGGCAUGUGGCUGUGACCAUUCACAGGACUUUAUCAACCAGCUCACAAGCAAGACUUUCUGUUGAUGAGCUGAUGUCUGCCCCAUCAGGCUCUUCCUCUCCAUGCCAGGGAAUGUCUCCCUCCUGAGUCCCAAACAGUGAGUAUUUCCACUUAAAUGGUUUCACAGCCUGCCUCAAAGGCCAAAAAAGAACAUAUUCCUUGUACACUUAUUCAUUCAUUUACCACACAAUAAUAGUUUUUAUGAUGGUUGAGCAAAUGUGACGUGAAAUAUCUCAGUUCGACUGUGUUCCCUCAUGUUUGUGCAUUUA
rnacentral:lncRNA from 1 species